rnacentral:rRNA from 2 species
UGGGGGGCUGCCUUACACAUGCAGUCGAACGGCAGCGGGGGUAGCUUGCUACCUGCCGGCGAGUGGCGAACGGGUGAGUAAUACAUCGGAACGUGCCCUGUAGUGGGGGAUAACUAGUCGAAAGACUAGCUAAUACCGCAUACGACCUGAGGGUGAAAGUGGGGGACCGCAAGGCCUCAUGCUAUAGGAGCGGCCGAUGUCUGAUUAGCUAGUUGGUGGGGUAAAGGCCCACCAAGGCGACGAUCAGUAGCUGGUCUGAGAGGACGAUCAGCCACACUGGGACUGAGACACGGCCCAGGCUCCUACGGGAGGCAGCAGUGGGGAAUUUUGGACAAUGGGGGCAACCCUGAUCCAGCAAUGCCGCGUGUGUGAAGAAGGCCUUCGGGUUGUAAAGCACUUUUGUCCGGAAAGAAAUCGCACUGGUUAAUACCUGGUGUGGAUGACGGUACCGGGAAGAAUAAGGACCGGCUAACUACGUGCCAGCAGCCGCGGUAAUACGUAGGGUCCAAGCGUUAAUCGGAAUUACUGGGCGUAAAGCGUGCGCAGGCGGUUGUGCAAGACCGAUGUGAAAUCCCCGGGCUUAACCUGGGAAUUGCAUUGGUGACUGCACGGCUAGAGUGUGUCAGAGGGAGGUAGAAUUCCACGUGUAGCAGUGAAAUGCGUAGAGAUGUGGAGGAAUACCGAUGGCGAAGGCAGCCUCCUGGGAUAACACUGACGCUCAUGCACGAAAGCGUGGGGAGCAAACAGGAUUAGAUACCCUGGUAGUCCACGCCCUAAACGAUGUCAACUAGUUGUUGGGGAUUCAUUUCCUUAGUAACGUAGCUAACGCGUGAAGUUGACCGCCUGGGGAGUACGGUCGCAAGAUUAAAACUCAAAGGAAUUGACGGGGACCCGCACAAGCGGUGGAUGAUGUGGAUUAAUUCGAUGCAACGCGAAAAACCUUACCUACCCUUGACAUGCCACUAACGAAGCAGAGAUGCAUUAKGUGCUCGAAAGAGAAAGUGGACACAGGUGCUGCAUGGCUGUCGUCAGCUCGUGUCGUGAGAUGUUGGGUUAAGUCCCGCAACGAGCGCAACCCUUGUCUCUAGUUGCUACGAAAGGGCACUCUAGAGAGACUGCCGGUGACAAACCGGAGGAAGGUGGGGAUGACGUCAAGUCCUCAUGGCCCUUAUGGGUAGGGCUUCACACGUCAUACAAUGGUGCAUACAGAGGGUUGCCAAGCCGCGAGGUGGAGCUAAUCCCAGAAAAUGCAUCGUAGUCCGGAUCGUAGUCUGCAACUCGACUACGUGAAGCUGGAAUCGCUAGUAAUCGCGGAUCAGCAUGCCGCGGUGAAUACGUUCCCGGGUCUUGUACACACCGCCCGUCACACCAUGGGAGUGGGCUUUACCAGAAGUAGUUAGCCUAACCGUAAGGAGGGCGAUACCACGUAGGUCCGG